GACAGAGGUGGCAAGCGUUGUUCGGAAUUACUGGGCUUAAAGGGCGCGUAGGCGGUGGAGUAAGUCCGGAGUGGAAUCCCGCAGCUUAACUGCGGGACUGCUUUGGAAACUGCUUUACUUGAGUCAGCGAGGGGAAGGCGGAAUUCCUGGUGUAGCGGUGAAAUGCGUAGAUAUCAGGAGGAAGGCCUGUGGUGAAGACGGCCUUCUGGCGCUGCACUGACGCUGAGGCGCGAAAGCGUGGGGAGCAAAC
rnacentral:rRNA from 1 species